rnacentral:rRNA from 1 species
CAGUAGCCACGGUAAAACGUAGGGUGCGAGCGUUAAUCGGAAUUACUGGGCGUAAAGCGUGCGCAGGCGGUUCGUUAAGACAGAUGUGAAAUCCCCGGGCUUAACCUGGGAACUGCAUUUGUGACUGGCGAGCUAGAGUAUGGCAGAGGGGGGUAGAAUUCCACGUGUAGCAGUGAAAUGCGUAGAGAUGUGGAGGAAUACCGAUGGCGAAGGCAGCCCCCUGGGCCAAUACUGACGCUCAUGCACGAAAGCGCGGGGAGCAAACAGGAUUAGAUACCCGCGUAGUCCCUGUCUCUUAUAC